GACGAACGCUGGCGGCGUGCUUAACACAUGCAAGUCGAACGGAAAGGCCCCUUUGUUGGUCCUCGAGUGGCGAACGGGUGCGUAACACGUGAGUAACCUGCCCUUGACUUCGGGAUAACUUCAGGAAACUGGGGCUAAUACCGGUUAGGAAUCCUUUCUGCAUGGUGGUGGUUGGAAAGCUUCGGCGGUUUUGGAUGGACUCGCGGGUUAUCAGCUUGUUGGUGUGGUAGUGGGUUACCAAGGCGUUUACGGGUAGCCGGACUGAGAGGGCGACCGGCGACACUGGGACCGAGAUAAGGCCCAGACGCCUACGGGAGGGAGCAGUGGGGAAUAUUGAACAAGGGGCGGAAGCCGGAUGCAGCAACGCCGCGGGCGGGAUGACGGCGUUAGGGGUGUAAACCGCUUUCAGCAGGGGCGAAGCUUGUGGUGACGGUACCUGCAGAAGAAGCACCGGCUAACUACGUG
rnacentral:rRNA from 1 species